GAGAGAUUCUAACUCCCACCACUAACUCCCAAAGCUAGCAUUGCUAAACUAAACUAUUUUCUGA
rnacentral:tRNA from 1 species